CCUUCGGGGUACACGAGUGGCGAACGGGUGAGUAACACGUGGGUGAUCUGCCCUGCACUUUGGGAUAAGCCUGGGAAACUGGGUCUAAUACCGAAUAUGAUCAUGGCCUUCAUGGGUUGUGGUGGAAAGCUUUUGCGGUGUGGGAUGGGCCCGCGGCCUAUCAGCUUGUUGGUGGGGUAAUGGCCUACCAAGGCGACGACGGGUAGCCGGCCUGAGAGGGUGUCCGGCCACACUGGGACUGAGAUACGGCCCAGACUCCUACGGGAGGCAGCAGUGGGGAAUAUUGCACAAUGGGCGCAAGCCUGAUGCAGCGACGCCGCGUGAGGGAUGACGGCCUUCGGGUUGUAAACCUCUUUCAGCAGGGACGAAGCGCAAGUGACGGUACCUGUAGAAGAAGGACCGGCCAACUACGUGCCAGCAGCCGCGGUAAUACGUAGGGUCCGAGCGUUGUCCGGAAUUACUGGGCGUAAAGAGCUCGUAGGUGGUUUGUCGCGUUGUUCGUGAAAACUCACAGCUUAACUGUGGGCGUGCGGGCGAUACGGGCAGACUGGACUGCAGGGGAGACUGGAAUUCCUGGUGUAGCGGUGGAAUGCGCAGAUAUCAGGAGGAACACCGGUGGCGAAGGCGGGUCUCUGGGCAGUAACUGACGCUGAGGAGCGAAAGCGUGGGGAGCGACAGGAUUAGAUACCCUGGUAGUCCACGCCGUAAACGGUGGGUACUAGGUGUGGGUUUCCUUCCUUGGGAUCCGUGCCGUAGCUAACGCAUUAAGUACCC
rnacentral:rRNA from 1 species